rnacentral:rRNA from 1 species
GACGAACGCUGGCGGCGUGCUUAACACAUGCAAGUCGAACGGAAAGGCCCUGCUUUUGUGGGGUGCUCGAGUGGCGAACGGGUGAGUAACACGUGAGUAACCUGCCCUUGACUUUGGGAUAACUUCAGGAAACUGGGGCUAAUACCGGAUAGGAGCUCCUGCUGCAUGGGUGGGGGUUGGAAAGUUUCGGCGGUUGGGGAUGGACUCGCGGCUUAUCAGCUUGUUGGUGGGGUAGUGGCUUACCAAGGCUUUGACGGGUAGCCGGCCUGAGAGGGUGACCGGCCACAUUGGGACUGAGAUACGGCCCAGACUCCUACGGGAGGCAGCAGUGGGGAAUAUUGCACAAUGGCGGAAGCCUGAUGCAGCAACGCCGCGUGCGGGAUGACGGCCUCGG